GAACCUUUGGCGCAGUGGUAGCGCGUGUGAUUCCAGCGGCCUGGGCGGUACGCCUGCCUCAGAGGAGCAUCCACAAGGUCGUCCGUUCAAUCCGGGCAAGGUUCA
rnacentral:tRNA from 1 species